rnacentral:lncRNA from 1 species
CCUUUUCUAGGGCCGCUUCCCGUGGCAUAUGGAGGUUCCCAGGCUAGGGCCCUAAAAAAAAAAAAUAGAGAGAGAGAGACAAAAGAAAUCAAACGCAGUAGUUAAAAUUUACCAAAUGUCUCCUGAUUACUCAAAGUAUAUUUAUUUCUUGCUCAGAGAGGUACAAAACCAAGUUUACUUUUUUCUUUGAAGAAAUAUAUCUAUUUAUCUGUUUAUUUUAUAGAAUUAGAAAAUAACUUUGAGUUAAUUCAUUCUGUUAUUACCUGCUUUCUCCAGUUAAGAGACUUUAUGCAGUGAAAUGCGAAGAUUCAGUUUAUAAUUCUAUUACCAGUGAGUGAAGAUGAAUUGGUGAAAAAUGCAUGUAAACUAAUGAACUUAUUAUAGUGACCAACUAUAAAAGAUAUUGUGGAACUAUACUUGUACUACUAUGCAAUGUUUGAAAGCAAGUAUUGUUAAAAUGAAACUUUUAUCAAGGACUAAAAGUAAAAAAGCAAAGUCAAAUAUUUUACACGUACUCUUCCCUCAUGCCCCGCCACACAUCACAUCCAAUCACACUGCCUAAAGCUAAAAUAAAGAUUCAAGUAUCAAAAGAAACAUACUCAUAUUAUUAGAGUUGAAAGGGACCUUGAAGAUGAAGGAAGUAUGUCAGAUCAUGUGACAUGUCCAAGAUUAUAUAACUAGUUAGUGGUAGCACUAGACCUAGAACAAUCUUUCCUUUCUCUACACCUGAAAUUUUUGACAAUGUGUAAUGAAAUAAGAGUUAAUAUGAAGAAUUGGCUGAUAAGCAAGAUGCUGUCCCCUCAAGUUAAAAACAAUUGGAUUUAAUGACUUCUACUUACUGGAUUUUAUAUUCCUAGGAAAAUAAGUUUAAAAUAAUAUUGUAAAAGCUAACUAGAAGUAAUACAAACCACAAAGAAAACUUAUCCUUUUUCUUAAAUCAAAACCAUGUAAAAGGACAUUUUUUUAAUGUCUAAAGGAAGCCAGAGAUUUAUUGGUUGUAUGUAUAUGUAUGGUAGUGAUGGGGUUUGUUCUGUGUUGCUUAGUUUUGUAAAUCCUUAGGGGUUCCUCUAGUUUCCUUUCUUCGUGAUGGUAAUCUGUGUCCCAAAAAUGGGAGUACAAAGAACAUGAAUUUCUGAUAAUUUAUAAAAUGCUUAACUAUAUAUAAAAAAGUCUCUAGAAACUUAGUAAUGACAGACAGUAAGAAAUAGUUGCCAAUAAUUUGAAAAUCAAAAAUCCAAAUCUUUUUGUUUGCAUGUAAAAUAAGGAACAUCUUUUAAAAAGGUCAAAAGUAAUUGAAAAAGAUUAAAUCUGUACACCUAAUUCUCUAAACUGUGUAUAUACUUUUCUUGAACUGCAUAUUCAUGAGCUGACAGUAGAGACAGGCUGGCUGCUUUGUUUGACUAUAGCUCUGUUUAUCUCAUACUGUCAAGAAUGGAUUUUGACACUCAGUAUUAAUAUUGCUAUUUCUAUUGAUAUAAUUAGCACUGCUAUAAAUAAUUCCUCAGCCUGCCAUAUCUAAGUAUAUCAUUACAAUCAGCAAUGUAAGGGCUUAUUUUUUUUGCAUGAUGCAGACUGUUGGCUCAAAGAACCAGGGUGACUUCAAGAUGUAGAGGGUACUUAUGAAAAAAAAAAAAAAAAAGUUACCCUGUCAAUAGAGACUACUGUUUUGUGUAUGACUUCACUAAACAAACUAGUUUAUAUUUGUUUGAAACUAAAGUUUCUCACCAAUCUGCUGUUUCAAUUUCACAUCACACCAUAUUGUACCUAAAACAGGCAAUCUGGAUUUCUGUUGCUACUCUCCUCCGCCCCCCCACCCCAAAUAGCUCAGGAAUGGAUUUGAAAUAUGAGGUUUGAAUAUAUAAAGCAGAAACAAAUUAAGACAUCCCAAAUUGAGAAUGGGUGGGUGAAAAUAAGUGUGCUUCACUUCACUUGUAUAGCUGCUAAUCGGUGGCCCACUUCUGAGUUUUUGAUCAUUACAUGAAAGCAAAAUCAAAACAUAUUUUAUCUUGCCUCUAGAUCACAUCAGUUGUGACAAUAACCUUAUCUAGACCUUGAAUAGUUUGUUCAUAAAACAAAGUGGGGUGACUGACCCAGUGCAUAUUCAACACAGAGUAUGAAGGCCAAAACAAAACGACAAUACAAUUCAAAACAAGUUUGUGGAAAUUUUAGGCUAGUAUAUUAAACCUUUCUUUGUCUCUUAUCACUUGACAGAUGGUUAGCCUUCACACAGCCUAGUAUCUCUGGCAAAGAAAUGGCUGUGUCUAGCCAAUAACGCCCCAAAUUUUGACUUAAAAUGAACUGUACAUAUACUUACACUUACCUUAAAAAGAUGAAUAUUAAUAAAAUUAGUCAUUAUUUUAUUACUAUAGAAAUUUGACAGAUGUCAACAUUUUAUCUUUUACUCUAUGAAUACCUCUUUUAGAAACUCUCAACUAGCUCAUUAUGUGGAUCCAGGGUUCUAACAACUCUUUGCUUUAGAUUUCAUUCAUUUUGUGUGCUGCUUAGUAAUCACGCUUUAAAAAAUUCCAAAAUUAUUACAAAAUUUACAAUGAUUUAAUUAGCUUAUAUUUUUAUGCUGCCUGGAGCAAAGUUCUGAUAAGUAACAAAGUCUGUUAAACAAAAUCACCUGGGAGCUUUGCAUGCCUUCGCUGUCAAGGAACUCAAGGCAGGACUGGAAUUAUUUACCCACUACUGAAAUAUGCCUUUAUUCAAAAACUAAUCAUAUAUAUUAUAUAUAUAUAUAAUACACCUAAUAUAGGUGUAUAACAUCUAUACACAUACACACAGACACAGAAACACACAUUAAUUAACUGUCCUUACUAGAAUUAGAAAAAGUUCUUAAUUUUUAACAUUCUAUCAACUAUUUCUCCACUUCACUUUUUAAGAUUUCAGCUAAAACAAUACAUUUCGUCAGUUACGGUCUCAGCUUCUCACCCUAAAUCUUCCUAUUUAUAGAUUUCAGAUGCUGCCAGAUCUGUAUUCAAAUAGCUACAGGCAACCUCAAUGUUCCCUGAAGUGCAUUCAUAUGUACACUUUCUAUUAGAGGUGAUUACAUCAUAAAUUAGCAUAGAGAUCUAGUGUAGAUAUAGCAAUUCAAGCCAUUCAUAGCAGGGGAUGAGAGGACUGGAGGAAGGAAGAUUGUGCGUAAAAAAAAAAAAAAAAAAAAAAAAAA